GAUGAACGCUGGCGGCGUGCCUAAUACAUGCAAGUCGAGCGAACAGAUGAGGAGCUUGCUCCUCUGACGUUAGCGGCGGACGGGUGAGUAACACGUGGAUAACCUACCUAUAAGACUGGGAUAACUACGGGAAACCGGAGCUAAUACCGGAUAAUAUAUUGAACCGCAUGGUUCAAUAGUGAAAGACGGUUUUGCUGUCACUUAUAGAUGGAUCCGCGCCGCAUUAGCUAGUUGGUAAGGUAACGGCUUACCAAGGCAACGAUGCGUAGCCGACCUGAGAGGGUGAUCGGCCACACUGGAACUGGGACACGGUCCAGACUCCUACGGGAGGCAGCAGUAGGGAAUCUUCCGCAAUGGGCGAAAGCCUGACGGAGCAACGCCGCGUGAGUGAUGAAGGUCUUCGGAUCGUAAAACUCUGUUAUUAGGGAAGAACAAAUGUGUAAGUAACUAUGCACGUCUUGACGGUACCUAAUCAGAAAGCCACGGCUAACUACGUG
rnacentral:rRNA from 1 species